GUCCCGGUGCAGAGUAGGGUGCCCAGGUAUAUUACAGUAGACAGGUGUCUGCUCAGAUAAUGCCCCGGUGCAGAAUAGGGUGCCCAGGUAUAUCACAGUAGACAGGUGUCUGCUCAGAUAAUGCCCCGGUGCAGAGUAGGGUGCCCAGGUAUAUUACAGUAGACAGGUGUCUGCUCAGAUAAUGCCCCGGUGCAGAAUAGGGUGACCAGGUAUAUUACAGUAGACAGGUGUCUGCUCAGAUAAUGCCCCGGUGCAGAAUAGGGUACCCAGGAUGGCUGGUCUCAGACGAUCCCUCAGGUGAAGAAGCCAGAUGUCAAUGUUCUGGGCCAGCGUGUACUUAUUUGUUUAACUUUUUUAAAUGUAACCUUUAUUUAACUAGUCAAGUCAGUUAUGAUCAAAUUCUUAUUUACAAUGACACCGGCCAAACCUGGACGACGCGGGGCCAAUUGUGCGUCACCCUAUGGGACUCCCAAUCACAGCCAAUUGUGAUACCGCCUGGAAUCGAACCAGGGUGUCUGUCGUGACGCCUCUAAUCAAAUCAAAUCAAAUCAAAUUUUAUUUGUCACAUACACAUGGUUAGCAGAUGUUAAUGCGAGUGUAGCGAAAUGCUUGUGCUUCUAGUUCCGACAAUGCAGUAAUAACGAACAAGUAAUCUAACUAACAAUUCCAAAAAACUACUGUCUUAUACACAGUGUAAGGGGAUAAAGAAUAUGUACAUAAGGAUAUAUGAAUCCUUAUGGCGCAGUGCCUUAGACCACUGCGCCACUCGGGAGCCAUGGUUUCCAAGUUACAUGUGGUCUGCCGGUUGGACGUACUGCCAAAUUCUCUAAAAUGACUUUGGAGUCGGCUUAUGGUAGAGAAAUUAACAUUAAAGUCUCUGGCAACAGCUCUGGUGGACAUUUCCUGCAGUCAGCAUGCCAAUUGCACUCUCCUUCAAAAACAUCUGUGGCAUUGAAUUAUGUGACAAAACUGUAUAUUUUAGUGGCCUUUUAUUGUCCCCAGCACAAGGUGCACCUGUGCACCUCAUGCUGUUUAAUCAGCUUCUUGAUAUGACACACCUGUCAGCUGUAUGGAUUACCAUGGUAACGGAGAAAAGCUCAAUGACAGGGAUGGAAAAAUAAUUUGUGCACAACAUUUUUGAGAAAUAAUUUUUUGGGGCAUAUGGAACAUUUCUGUGAUCUUUUAUGAAACAUGUGACCAACACUUUACAUUUUGGACGUACAAUUCUGUUCAGUAUAGUAUAAAUAGUGCAGUACUUUUGGACAGGGUACAUAGGAAAAUGGGGAAUAAGGUGCCAUUUUGGAGGCAGCCUUGAGUUGUGUUUUUUAACCUACAGUAUUUGAACAGCUGUGCUGCUGCUGGCAGAUAGAUGUUUGAGGUAGUAGGGAAAAUAAAGCUGGACUGUAGAAGAAAUAGGGAGGUCAGAU
ensembl:lncRNA